rnacentral:lncRNA from 1 species
UAAGAAAGCCUAAAUACAAUCUACUAGAAAUUACACCAUCAUACAUGCUCACUCUAACUACAACAUUUUCUUUCUUCAAUCAUGAUUUUUCUUACCACUAGCAUUAAUUCAACUCGCAUGAAAUAACGAGUUUGACAUUAAAUUAUUAUCAGGUCAAAUGGUAAUUGUAUAUAACUAACAAGAUGUCUAAGUUGCCACUCGGUACUACGGUCUGAUGGUAUUCUUCUUCACUUGGAAGUGAGAGAUCUUAGGUUCAAAUCUCGUGGAUGGCGAAUUCGAUACCAAAUUAGGUUGCCCAUUGUAUGGCUUAGCCGAACUCCCAAUUCCUCUAGUGUAAAAAUACCGAUGUACUAAAAAAAAACAAGAUGUCUAUUUUUUAUUUUAAGUGAAAUGAUACAACUUUUUAUUUAUGUUUUAAGUAAAGCAAAAUGCUAAGGAAACUCUUUCAAAAGUAGGUCUCUCCAUGAACUCUUCACCACCUCUUAUUUUUUACACAAUGAUUUAUAAUGUUGGCAUGAAAAUUAUGUCAAAAACAUAAAGUGGUAGAAAGUCCAUGAUAAGUCUCUUAAAUCAAAAGAUGCGACUUUUGUCUCUAUAAAUAGACACAUCU